rnacentral:rRNA from 1 species
GACGAACGCUGGCGGCGUGCUUAACACAUGCAAGUCGAGCGGUAAGGCCCCUUCGGGGGUACACGAGCGGCGAACGGGUGAGCAACACGUGAGCACUCUGCCCUUCACACGGGGAUAACCUCGGGAAACCGGGGCUAAUACCCGAUACGACCACCUCGGGCAUCCGAUGGUGGUGGAACGCUCGGGCGGUGAAGGAUGAGCACGCGGCCUAGCAGCUUGUUGGUGGGGUAACGGCGCAGCAAGGCAACGACGGAUAGCCAGACUGGGAGGGUGACCGGCCACAGUGGGGCUGAGACACGGCCCAGACUCCUACGGGAGGCAGCAGUGGGGAAUAUUGGACAAUGGGCGAAAGCCUGAUCCAGGAACGCCGCGUGAGGGAUGACGGCCUUCGGGUUGUAAACCUCUUUCAGCAGGGACGAAGCGGAAGUGACGGUACCUGCAGAAGAAGCACCGGCCAACUACGUGCCAGCCGCCGCAGUAAAAC